AGAUGGAGGAAUCAGGGAGUCUUUGACCAUCUUCUCUGCAUCAAAGGGAGGACUGAAUCUGAUUGACUGAUCUACUCAUUUUUAUUUGUCCCCCUCUGUCACUUAGGAGUUGUGCAAUGAUAAAUUAGUUUGUCAUUGGUGGAGGGCAGUUGUAAAGGUGUGCAGACAUCUUGAGGGUAAGCAAAAAUAC